rnacentral:miRNA from 1 species
CCGCUUUUGUGGUUUAGCAAUU